rnacentral:snoRNA from 1 species
UUGCUGUGAUGUUUUAAAAUCAACACAUUAUUCUUACUGUAAAGUGAAGAAACAUUAAAAAAAAAAUCACUGAGCAAA